ensembl:snRNA U2 U2 spliceosomal RNA
AUCGCUUCUCGGCCUUUUGGCUAAGAUCAAGUGUAGUAUCUUAUUAUGUUCUCUCUUUAAUAUAGAAAGGUAGAAUGCAA